UUUAGGGUUAGGUCACCAGCAAAUGGCGAUGGCGGUGCGAUCGACCUACAGGCAUCUCCUCCGGGUCGUGAAGAAGCAUGUAAGUAGCGAAGCGCAUUUCAAGGAAUUCGUGGCGGAAGAGUUCCGGAAGAAUGCGGCGCUCUCCCCCGCCGAUGCCUACGAUAAGCUCCGGCUCGCCAAGGAUUAUGCCUCGUUGGUCGCCAGCGUCCACCAUCACAGCGAUCUUCUUUUGUCUUACAACAUAGCUGUGGACCGAUCGGAAGAGGAGAAGGAGCGAUUGAAAGACACUGCUCAUAGAGUCGGCCUCCAGCUCCCCGAAGUCUACAAAGAGGACACACAACUGAACUCAGCAGCCAACUAGCCACUUUCCUCCAUUUUUGUAGAACCAGCACAACGAGCUAGAUGCUCGAGCUGUGAGGUACAUGUCUUGUGAAACUGAGCGAAGCUUGAUUUGGAUGCUUUCGUCCGUCCCUCUGACUGAAUCGAUGCAAAGCUUUCUCGAUCCACUCGCUCCGGGUUUGCAUAUUUCUCUGUGCCGUGAAAUCUCUUUUAGUUCCUGCUUUCUUUCUUGUUUGCGUUGCGUUCUUCUUACGCCGGCUCUCUACCAUCGCAUGAAUGAAUUGAUUACUUUUGAGCA